GACGGUAUAGCUCAGUGGUUAGAGUGCAUGCCUAGCAUGCACAAGGUCCUGGGUUCAAUUCUCAGCACCUCUG
rfam:Camelus ferus unplaced genomic scaffold scaffold402, whole genome shotgun sequence.